AUCGCCUGGGCAUCUUGGUAAAUGGAGGUUCUGAUUUAGUAGCUGGGGGCAGAGUCUGAGAUUCUGCAUUUCUACCAAGCUCUCCUGGACCACACU
rnacentral:pre_miRNA from 1 species